CCUACGGGAGGCAGCAGUGGGGAAUAUUGCGCAAUGGGCGAAAGCCUGACGCAGCGACGCCGCGUGAGGGAUGAAGGUCUUCGGAUCGUAAACCUCUGUCAGCAGGGAAGAACGGGCACUGUGCUAAUCAGCAGUGAAUUGAUGGUACCUGCAAAGGAAGCACCGGCUAACUCCGUGCCAGCAGACGCGGUAAUACGGAGGGUGCGAGCGUUAAUCGGAAUUACUGGGGGUAAAGCGCUCGUAGGCGGCAUGUCAAGUCAAGGGUGAAAUCCCCGCGCUCAACGUGGGAACUGCCUUUGAAACUGGGAGACUGGAGUGUGUGAGAGGAUAGUGGAAUUCCAGGUGUAGGAGUGAAAUCCGUAGAUAUCUGGAGGAACAUCAGUGGCGAAGGCGACUAUCUGGCACAUAACUGACGCUGAGGAGCGAAAGCGUGGGUAGCAAACAGGAUUAGAUACCCCAGUAGUC
rnacentral:rRNA from 1 species